UCGAGCGGUAAGGCCCCUUCGGGGGUACACGAGCGGCGAACGGGUGAGUAACACGUGAGCAAUCUACCCAUCACAUCGGGAUAACUCCGGGAAACCGAAGCUAAUACCGAAUACGACCACCUCAGGCAUCUGAUGGUGGUGGAAAGUUCCGGCGGUGAUGGAUGAGCUCGCGGCCUAUCAGCUUGUUGGUGGGGUAACGGCCCACCAAGGCUUCGACGGGUAGCCGGCCUGAGAGGGUGACCGGCCACACUGGGACUGAGACACGGCCCAGACUCCUACGGGAGGCAGCAGUGGGGAAUAUUGGACAAUGGGCGAAAGCUCGAUCCAGCAACGCCGCGUGAGGGAUGACGGCCUUCGGGUUGUAAACCUCUUUCAGCAGGGACGAAGCGAAAGUGACGGUACCUGCAGAAGAAGCACCGGCCAACUACGUGCCAGCAGCCGCGGUAAUACGUAGGGUGCGAGCGUUGUCCGGAAUUAUUGGGCGUAAAGGGCUCGUAGGCGGUCUGUCGCGUCGGGAGUGAAAACUCAGGGCUUAACCCUGAGCCUGCUUCCGAUACGGGCAGACUAGAGGUAUGCAGGGGAGAAUGGAAUUCCUGGUGUAGCGGUGAAAUGCGCAGAUAUCAGGAGGAACACCGGUGGCGAAGGCGGUUCUCUGGGCAUUACCUGACGCUGAGGAGCGAAAGUGUGGGGAGCGAACAGGAUUAGAUACCCUGGUAGUCCACACCGUAAACGUUGGGCGCUAGGUGUGGGACUCAUUCCACGAGUUCCGUGCCG
rnacentral:rRNA from 1 species